GACAGACGUCACACCCCCAGUGUGUCACGUGCACACAUCGCUGCUCUGUUUGUUGCAGCUUGCUUCCCGUCGCUGUGAAGCGAGAGAGGAGGCUCGGCUGAACCCAAUGCAACCGCACUCGAGUAUUUGCAGUAAAUACGCUUUGAUUUCUGGAAACGUGAUUUUGUGGCAAUUAUAUAUUGAUUGUGCAAUUGAUUGUUAUUUGCAUACAGCAAAACAAUUCAUCAUGUCAUACAUUUAAAAAUGUUGAGGCGGCCGUUCGUUUUGAUUGGAACCCAGGUUGAAUAUGUAAAAGGAUAACUACCUUGCCCUCAACACUACUGAAGUGUUUCCAUUCUCAGCCCCAGGCAGGACACUCCUGUUAAUGCUCCUAGGCAACCAGGUAUGAGCACCAAGGAUGACUUCUUUGUCUGCCUGUGGCCUUGAUAUCAUGGAUCAUGGAUGUCAGGAUACAUUGAAGGUAGCGUUCCCCGACCACUUGUAACACAACACAGGCCCCUCUCCUUGUUUCCUGUGGGUCUUGUGUCAAACUUCCCUUCUGCUUAGCUGCCAGCCUCGUCUUUCCAACGCUCAUUUAUUUUCUUCAUCCCGCAGUCCGUCGGCGUGGCUGCAUCACAAGGUCAGUCAAGGGCCUUUGAGCGUAUCCUGUUGAUGCAACUGUGUUUUCCUGGGGCACAGAGACACUUGAAUCACAACGUGAUGCAGGACUGCUACAGGGACGUGAUUCCUCUGGCUUGUGUUGCCACAGUAGUUAGCGCUGCAGGCAGUUUAACUAUUUUCAAAUGACUCAGAACAAUGACAGCGUUUUACUUUCGGCUAAGACAAGACUGGCUUGGUUGAUUUUAAAACAUUCAUUUGACAGAUGUAGUCCUCAUGCUUAAUGUUGCAGCCCAAAAUAUCCAACCCCUAGUGGUACAAACAAGCCUUCAGCAC